rnacentral:tRNA from 1 species
CAGUAUGAAGCUUAAAUAUUAAAGCACUUCGCUUACACCGAAAAGAGUUAUUGUGAAAAUCAAUUAAUACUGA